AUGCUGGUCAAGGCCUGGCCGGGUGGUGUGCUCGGUUACAGAGCUGCCUACACUACCCUCCUUGGGAUGGGGCUUUCUAGGGGCGAGUACGUGGGUCUAGGAGACUCCGAGAGGCAAGGGCAGCGCGUGUUCCUGAGAAGCUUCCCGCCCUCAGCACAGCAGCGCUCCGAGGCACAGAACCAGCAGGGCGGGCGCCAGGUGACCCUGCCACACCUGAGCUUGCUUUCCCACAGGAGGGAAGGCAGCUGGAUCCCAGCACAGGAAGAGCCCACAGGCCCCACCCCAUGUCCCCUCCCUGGGCAAACUUGGGAAACGGCUCUCGGGAUGUCCGGCUCUCGGGAUGUCCGCUCCCGCUCCAGCGGGUCCCCGGGACCAGCUCCCGGCUGCCCGAAUCUCCCAUGGGCGCUUGCCCACCUCUUCCCUCGUGGGCUCCACUUCUUUACCCUUAGCCGCGCCUUCAAUUCUCACGUCCCUCAGCGCGGCACCCGCUCGCGUGGCUCCGGGUCUGGUGCUGAGCCCCGAUCCCUCCCCCUUCCUCCUCCCAGUCUGGAAGAACCCGGAUCCCUGCGCUCCGCCCUAGCCCCAGCAUCUCUGACUUCCCGGUACAAUGGGGCCUCCUCCCUCGGGUCUCAAGCGCUGACAGCCGCCAUAUAACAAACAGGCUCCUCAUGUCUCCGAGGCCUUCCUGGACCCGUGAGGAGGGAAACAAACCUCCAGCAACCACAGUGGCUAGCACAGAAGAGAUUUCACUACAAGAGAAGGGGACACCUGGCAGCCCUGCACUCUGGAGGCUGAGGCAGGAGAUCCCGAGUCCAAGGCCAGCCUGGACUACACAGCGAGACCCUGUCUCAAGAAACCAAAAAGAAAAAGGGGGGGGCAGUGACCAGGAACAGAGAACUCUUCUCACCUCUGGUCUCCCCACCCCUCAACUCUGAUCAAAACUUCACCAAAAUGAAAAAUGUCCCUUGGGGCCGGGGAUUUAGCUCAGUGGUUCCGCCGCCUGUCUUGAAAGCGCAAGGACCUGAGUUCGAUCCCCGGUACCAAAAAAAAAAAAUGUCCCUUUUCAGCUGGGAUGCGCUGUUUCUCUUCCCCUCCAACACAACUUGCCAGUCACCGUGGCUGAUGUAGUGGUUUUUCAACGUCACCCAUACCAUCAUUCUCUCUGCAUUCCCUGUGCAAUGCUCAGUGAAACCACAAGACCCAUUCACCUUGUGGUGAUAAGGCGGCUGGGGGGGGGGGGGCCGAGGAAACAAACUGCAGGCUGUCUGACUCCAGGGUGGUGGGCGGCGGGGGCAGUGCUCCAGUCCGUCUGCCUCAGCCAGGCCCAGCAGCCCCGCCCUUCAUCCCUUCCUCACUGCACACGGAGCUGCCUUGCCUCGGGCUUCUGCCUGAGUCCCCUUCUCUGCCAGACCUUCCCUGUCACCUGGAGGGAGCUGCCCUGGCCCCCAACACAGCUCUUGCCUACCCUCCCUCUCUUCUUCUUCUCUGUUUCGUUGUUUUUGAAACAAGGUCUCACUACGUAGUUCAGGGUGGCUCUGAACUCAGUCCACAGCCCAAGCUGGCCUCCAACUCGCUGAGAUCCUCCCGCCUCGGCCUGGGAUUACAGGCGUGCCCCAGCACACCCAGCUUCUUCUAUUUUUAUGCUGAACACGUCUGACUUUUUAACAAAUACCUACUAGUGGUGUCCAACUAAGAACACAUGCUUCCUAAAUUAAAGAUAAAGGGCUGGGGAUUUAGCUCACUGGCUCCGCUGCCUGCCUUGCAAGCACAAAGACCCCAUACGGAAAAAAAAACCACCUUUAUCUAAAUUAAAGAUAAAGGCUUCUUUCUCUCUUACUGAUGUAACACCAGUGCCCAGGACAAAUGAUUUGGUGAAUAAAGUGAUGUAUUAACAAAUCCUAUAGGAAUGCAGAGGGAGAGCUUAAAAGGAAAGGAGAAACCUGGCAAUCUGCAUAUCCUGGUGCAGGGUCCACUCCCUGGGACCUGGCUCAUCCCCAGGGGAUGCUCAUAGGGCGGGGCCUAAAAGGCCCAGCAGGGUCCCCCCCACAACUCGCCCAAUGGCGGUAUCUGAAUAUGAAUGCCCUCCCUUCCCCAGUCCCCACCUGGAGCUCCUCGCGCCAAGGAGACGUCCUUUGGCCAGUCUGCGUCCAGCCUGGGUUCACCACACUCUAUGGGAAGUGGGGGGACAGCAAGGGCAGGGAGAACUUGCCGCCCUGCCAAGUGGUCCCAGGAAGUAGCACAAAGUUUUUUGGGUUUUGAUUUGUCAAAGAACACAGAGCCUCAGCAUGUUCUUAGAGGUCAGGAAAGGAAAAAGCAAGCCGACCCACCUUCCCCCUUAAAGUCCCACGAGGCAGAGUGUACCGCGCCUCCCCAGGCAUGCGCACUGGCUCACUCCCCACGCGCCCGCGUGCUGCUGCUGGGAGCCCCUCUGUGCCCCGAGAACACUGGCCGGCCACCACUGACUCUCCUGAGUGCUGGGACUUGUCCUGGUAGUUUUUCUAGGCCUAUCUGAGAUUUCCAGUUAGACACCCAGUGGGAGCUGAAAUAUUUCGUUGGGAUUACAGCCCCCACUUGCUGUCCUAGUCUCUGUUCACUCUCUCCCGGCCAAGGCGAUUCCACACAUCCCAGGAGAGAUGAGAACCCUAAAGAGGAAGCCCCGGGAGGACAACAUCUGGAAAAGUGCAGGCCUGGCCUGCUGGCUCCCCCUCAAGCCACUACACUCAGUGGCCAAGACAAAAAGCCACCUAACAUCUGGGCAGGGUGACACAAGCCUGUAAUCCCAGCACUCAGGAGGCUGAGGCAAGAGGAUCGCUGCAG
rnacentral:lncRNA from 1 species